rnacentral:lncRNA from 1 species
CCCUAUUGAAAAGAUUGAGCCAGGGUGGAGUUUAUCUGCAAAGCUGGAUGUGCCCUGAAGCCAAAACCUUGAGAAGGAGAGGGGCAAGAUAGAGCAUCUUGGCUGAGACUAGGCUGCAAGCUCUGUGCUUCUCCUCUGGCUGCCUCUACACCACCUGUGUUCAGCACCCAGAUCCUGGCACAGCUGUACCAGCAAGUUACUCCCUGAGGGCAAACAGAGAAACCACCUGAGAGAGAGCCUGUUUUUUAAGACAAUCCAAGCUGAACUUGUAUUUAUCCACCAUUAUUCUUCUUAUCUUCAUGUGCUCCAUCCAGUGGAAGACCAUGCAACAGAUGGUCCUGCCAGAACUAAGAGAACAAUAUAUAUGACAACAUUAUAGAGAAAAAUAAUUGAAAGUCUUUGGAACUAACUCUGGCCAAAGUAAACUGAGUAUAGAAAACUAAACAUGAAACCCACCACUCAUCUCCUGCUAAAAAGAUGAUGGACUUAGAUUGCAGAUGGAGACAUGCAUUUGGACAUGGUCAAUAUGGUCAUUUGUUUUGCUAGAUUGUCUAUUUGGUACGAGAGUUUAAGAUUUCAUUUGUGAUUAUUUGACUGAGUGAGAUGAUGGGAG